AUUACUAGUUUAAUCUUGAGUAUCAGGAGGAAGCAGUGUGUACCUUGGAGUUCAUUCAAAGGUGCUUUGUGGGCAUAAAUCCAGAGAGAGGACCCAAAGCCAAGGGAAAAGUGCCAUCGAAAUAAAAGCAGGACAAGUGAUACAGAAGAAAAUGUGUGGCAGUCAACCCACAUGUUGCCACUCUUCUGUGCAAAUUCCAAUGGAAUUUCUGAAAUUCACACUUUGAAUCCUGGGAUGGAACUUCAUCUGGAGCAUAAUUGUUAUUUG